rnacentral:rRNA from 1 species
AGAAUCAACGCUGGCGGCGUGCCUAACACAUGCAAGUCGAACGAGAAAGUGGAGCAAUCCAUGAGUAAAGUGGCGCACGGGUGAGUAACACGUGACUAACCUACCCUUGAGUGGGGGAUAACCUCGGGAAACCGGGGCUAAUACCGCAUAAUAUCGAGAGAUCAAAGGAGCAAUUCGCUUAAGGAGGGGGUCGCGGCUGAUUAGCUAGUUGGUAGGGUAAUGGCCUACCAAGGCUAUGAUCAGUAUCCGGCCUGAGAGGGCGCACGGACACACUGGAACUGAAACACGGUCCAGACUCCUACGGGAGGCAGCAGUGGGGAAUUUUGCGCAAUGGGGGAAACCCUGACGCAGCAACGCCGCGUGGAGGAUGAAGUCCCUUGGGACGUAAACUCCUUUCGAUCGGGACGAUAAUGACGGUACCGGAAGAAGAAGCCCCGGCUAACUUCGUGCCAGCAGCCGC